rnacentral:rRNA from 1 species
CCUACGGGAGGCAGCAGUGGGGAGUCUUGCGCAAUGGGCGAAAGCCUGACGCAGCAACGCCGCGUGUGUGAUGAAGGUCUUCGGAUCGUAAAGCACUGUCGGGAGGGACGAAUAAGGGUCCGUCUAACAAGCGGAUCCGAUGACGGUACCUCCAAAGGAAGCACCGGCUAACUCUGUGCCAGCAGCCGCGGUAAUACAGAGGGUGCAAGCGUUGUUCGGAAUUAUUGGGCGUAAAGCGCGUGUAGGCGGCCAAGCAAGUCAGGUGUGAAAGCCCUCGGCUUAACCGAGGAAGUGCGCCUGAAACUACUUGGCUUGAGUACCGGAGAGGAUGGUGGAAUUCCCGGUGUAGAGGUGAAAUUCGUAGAUAUCGGGAGGAACACCAGCGGCGAAGGCGACCAUCUGGACGGAUACUGACGCUGAGACGCGAAAGCGUGGGGAGCAAACAGGAUUAGAUACCCUGGUAGUCCACGCUGUAAACGAUGAGCGCUAGGUGUUGCGGGUGUUGACCCCUGCAGUGCCGCAGCUAACGCAUUAAGCGCUCCGCCUGGGAAGUACGGCCGCAAGGCUAAAACUCAAAGGAAUUGACGG